rnacentral:sRNA from 1 species
CUGUCAGCUCCAGAGACCAAAGUCCUUUAUUUAUCUACUGAACAGAUGCAGCACAGGCAGUGGCAACACAAGUUUCCCCACAUCAUCCUGCCAACGUGUCUCAGCCCUGAUCUCGUCUCCAUGCCCAAUUGGUCCUUGGCCUCCUUUCUGAGACUGCU